rnacentral:rRNA from 1 species
GGGGAAUAUUGGGCAAUGGGCGCAAGCCUGACCCAGCAACGCCGCGUGAAGGAAGAAGGCUUUCGGGUUGUAAACUUCUUUUGGCAGGGACGAAGAAAGUGACGGUACCUGCAGAAUAAGCUCCGGCUAACUACGUGCCAGCAGCCGCGGUAAUACGUAGGGAGCAAGCGUUAUCCGGAUUUACUGGGUGUAAAGGGCGCGUAGGCGGGAAUGCAAGUCAGAUGUGAAAUCUGAGGGCUCAACCCUCAAACUGCAUUUGAAACUGUGUUUCUUGAGUGAUGGAGAGGCAAGUGGAAUUCCUAGUGUAGCGGUGAAAUGCGUAGAUAUUAGGAGGAACACCAGUGGCGAAGGCGACUUGCUGGACAUUAACUGACGCUGAGGCGCGAAAGCGUGGGGAGCAAACA